GCUUUAGAGUCGGAUCCAAUCCUGCUGGAGUCCGACUCAACUGGGCUAUGACAUCCACCAGACCCUCCUGAUCCAAGCACACUGCUUGGAGCUCUGAAUCGCCGUCACGUUCUGGAAUACAUUUAUGCGGUGAUUCCGCCAAGUCCUCACUGAAGAGAAGCCGAUGAGCGAGGUCUUUGCAAUUUGCUCUCCUAGUAAGUUUCUUGCCAUUUUCUUCCCAGUUAUUUUCCCGAAUGCUGAGAAGUUCCUCGUCUUCAGAAACGCGUGCCUUUUUCUGCGCGUCAGAUGCAUUAUUUCCUGGGUCGUCCACUUGCAGGAUCUCGGCAUCAAGAGCCAGCGUGGACUCUCCGACUGCAACACCCUACAGGAUGGAAUCAAGAGACCUCUUGUGAGAGAAGAUACAGAAUAUAAAUACAGUAUACUCAUGUGCAACUCACCAUUGUGCCAUUGUGACUGUGAGCUGGAUCAUCGCUGGUAAAUCGGAUCGGGAAAAGUUAUCACAUAUCUCCAUAAACGCUUGAAAUCAUUUUACAUCUUUUUUAAAAGCUCCAAAAGAAAACUUA